UUUCUGUAAGGUACAAAUUUAAUAUGGUGUUACUCACCUUCUUUGCCCUCGAGCUGCUUCUUGGCAAGGCCGAGCUCGUUCUUGGACCGCUCGAGGUUCUGCUUCAAAGCAUCGACCUCCGUAGUCAGUGCGGUAGAGGUCAGCAGCGCAGCCUGCAAUCCCAUAUUGACAUAAUUUUUAGAACUCCAGCGUAUAUCUUUUUAGAUCCUCAGUCCGGCUUUUCUUUCCGAACACCGAACCGAGCACCAGGGGCUACUAUCUAUGCGGUAUUACAUUACAUAUUUUAAAAUUUCUUACCUCAAAGCCUGUUAGAAGGCUGCUACAAGCUUCGGUCAGCCCGCUCUUGGCGAGCUGAACCUUCUGAAUCACCGCACUCAUGACAGUGUGGUGUUCUUCCUCGAUGGAAGCGCCGUUGAGCGCCUCCAACAAGUUGUCCCGCGCCUCCGAUUGGACGGAGGCCGCCGGUGUCACGGUCUUGCCCUUCUCACGAAGGGGCCACCUACCGGACUCCGGAACCACUGCGGGUUCCGGGGCGGAGUCCGGUGCGAAGUCCGGGAGGUUGCCCUGUGGCACCUCCGGAGCCUCCCCCUCCUGGCAGGUCCCCUCCUGGGAUCCCACCUCGGCGUCUUCAGAGUCACGAGGGGUGGAGGCGGUCGGAAUGGAAUCCACAUCCGACGGAGCCAAGGACCCGCUCGAAGAAGCGGGAAGAUCGUCCUCGGCCGGACUACAGGUUGUACGCGGCAUUAGAAGGACACCAUGUGGCAAAAAAGAGAAAUUAUAAAUCAUUCAGGAAUCCGGAUACUUAUGAUCUUGCCUGGGGCUUGGCCCUUGAGGGCCACCCCUCGUCGCCGUCGUCGGCGUUGGCGGAGCAGUCCGGAGGAAGGGUCCUUCCCCUCUUGGACCCUUCGGCCUCCCUCGUUGGGGAAGCCUUCCUCUUCUUCUAUCCCCCCUCCUGGGGAGAGUCCUCUUUCUCCUCCUCAUCUUCGGGGGAGGAGUCCGCCUUGGAGCCAUCGGACAAUGAGUCUGAUACCACCUGGCGCCGGGAACUCCUUCGGGUUCCCGUGGCCUUCUUCUUGGCCUUCUUCUCCGACACCAUGUAAAGGGCCGGAACCAGCAGCCCCGUCAAACGGGUGUCCGCUGGGUCUUCGGGAAGGGGAGCCGGACAGUUAACCUGUCUGGACGUCUUUUGUCGGUCCUGUUAAAGGCAUUGGGAGUUUUAGAUCCCACAUAGAGUCAAACUAUGAAAGAAAUAAGUGUCCCAUAAAGGAUAGCAAAGCUUACCUCGCCGGCCGGGCACUUCGUGCUGAAUCCGCGAUCUUCAGUUGCGGAUGCGGGGGCUUCUCCGCCCUUGAACAGCACCCUCCAGGCAGCUUCAUACAUCGUGUCGAAGAGCCCGCUCAGGGUCUGGUGCUGUGCCGGAUCAAACUCCCACAAAUUGAAGGCCCGUUGCUGGCAGGGGAGAAUCCGGCGGACGAGCAUGACCUAGAUCACGUUGACAAGCUUAAGCUUCUUGUUCACCAGGGUCUGGAGACAGGACUGGAGUCCUGUCAGCUCCUCCGAACUACCCCAUAGCAAGCCCUUCUCUUUCCAGGAGGUGAGCUGCAUGGGGAUCCCAGAUCUGAACUCGGGGGCCGCUGCCCAUUUAGGGUCACGCGGCUCGGUGAUGUAGAACCACCCCAAUUGCCACCCUUUGCCAGACUCCACGAAGGCACCCUCGAGCCGGAUGACGUUGGGCAUUUUGCCCACCAUGGCGCCUCCGCACUCCGCUUGGACGCCCUUCACCACCUUCGGCUUGACAUUGAAGGUUUUAGCCACAAGCCGAAGUGGGGCUGGAUGUGGAGGAAGGCCUCGCACAUGACGAUAAACGCCGAGAUGUUGAGGAUGAAGUUUGGCGCCAGAUCGUGGAAGUCCAGGACGUAGUAGUACAUGAGCCCCCGGACGAAGGGAUGAAGUGGGAAGCCCAGUCCAUGGAGGAAGUGGGGAAGGAAUAUGACCCUCUCAUGAGGCCUGGGGGUGGGGAUGAGCUACCCCUCGUCGGACAGCCGGUGCGCGAUGUCGCUGGAUAGGUAUUCGGCGCCGCGCAGCUUCUCGAUGUGCCCCUCCGUAACGGAGGAGGCCAUCCACUUGCCUCCCGCUCUGGACAUGGCUGGAGAAGGUUGAGACGAGAUGUGCGGACUUGGUCGUUGGAGCUCGAGUGCGCGGAGAUGGAUAAGCAAAGGAGGAAGAAGGCGUAGGUAAAAAAGGUGGAUCCUUAUCCCCUUAUAUAUGGGCGGACGAAGACUAUGCGUCCCCACCGGCCUGGUAAAACUCGCUUACCUCCCAAGCGCCACAAUCAAUGGCGCAGUUGGGUUACCCACGUCCGUAUUGAUGAGAAUCCCGGAAUAAGGGGAACACGAUCUCUGCUUCGACAAGACGUGCCAGGGAAACCGCUUCGCUAAACGCGCUGAGGUGGUAUAAUAAAAAUGAUUCAAGUAAAGGCUUGGUAGUGGCGUGAUGUCAUGCCACGAAAUACGUCAGCAGGUUAAACUUGUGUACAUAUUAUUCUCUCUACGGUGGUAUGUGGAAUUUAUUUUGCAGAGCCGGACACUAUCCUGGUGUUCACAAUCUUCUAUGAAUUAUUCGGAGGAGGAACCCUCCUUGCAAUGCCGAACAAUAUGCGCGCCGGACUCAUCGUCAUUGAAGCCUGGUUCAGGGGCUACUGAGGGAGUCCAGGACUAGGGGGUGUCCGGAUAGCCGGACUAUCAUCAUCAGCCGGACUCCAAGACUACUAAGAUACAAGAUUGAAGACUUCGUCCCGUGUUUGGAUCGGACUUUCCUUGGCGUGGAAGGCAAGCUUGGCGAUAUGGAUAUGUAGAUCUCCUACCAUUGUAACCGACUCUGUGUAACCCUAGCCCUCUCCGGUGUCUAUAUAAACUGGAGGGUUUUAGUCCGUAGGACGAACAACCAUUACAACAAUCAUACCAUAGGCUAGCUUCUAGGGUUUAGCCUCCUUGAUCUCGUGGUAGAUCCACUCUUGUACUACCCAUAUCAUCAAUAUCAAUCAAGCAGGAGUAGGGUUUUACCUCCAUCGAGAGGGCCCGAACCUAGGUAAAAACAUCGUGUCCCUUGUCCCCUGUUACCAUCCGCCUAGACGCACAGUUCGGGACCCCCUACCCGAGAUCCGCCGGUUUUGACACCGACAGGGAGGAUGAUGCAUCCUGCUACAGGCGAAAGGGUCCGGAUAGCCAAGCCGCAUUAGCCGCAGCACUUGCCGACCUUUAUAAAUGAGAAGAAGAAGACUUCCUUCAUUUAAAUUGCCGAGAGGACUUCUCCAUGUACAAUCCCAUUGAAUGGGUAAGUUUUCUAACCGCUUAGUACUUUUUUACUCAUUGAGAUGCAUUGACCGAAUACCAUGGUUACUUUUUAAAAUAGUCAUGGAGACAAAUUGUCGAGAACAUUAACUGCCCCACCCCCCAGUCAGAGGAUCACAAUUGCACUGAGGACCCCGGAUUCCAUGAGGAUCCGGACAUAUUUGUAGUGUUUGAAGAUGGAGUAUACUAAUAGGCGAGCCUUGACGGCUCAGAGGUAUUUAUUGCGACUGACUACCCCGACCUCUAUCCUUUUGUAAAGGUAAGUAUUCGGGAAUUGUAUUCUCAGGGAAGAGAGAUACUUUUGCUCGUCUCUUUAUCCUCCGCAUUGGACCAUGUUUCACAGGAUCGGCGCUCAGCGAGCCGUGGUCAAGGGCAGGAGACCAAGAGAAGGUCAGCACCUUCAUGGAAGGGUCGUGCGAAACAAAAGGAAGUUGGAAGCACCACUGAACCUGCUCCAUCACCGAAAAGGUAUAUUACUCUUAUUUAGUAUUCAGGUGUGAAGCCGGAUUGUCAUUCGAAUCCUCAUUCUAUCAUCAUAGGAGGGGUAUACGGUGGACCGUGAGUAAGAUCCCAGCCAGCCGAGCCGCGACUAAUGCGGCACCGGAGGUACCAAAUUUGACGGGGUGCAUGCUGAUGUGGCACAGACUCGUUCAUCUCACGAAGAGCCGGAUGAGAUGUCCGUUACCAACUCCGAAGUCGAGAGUGCGAUGAAUCAUCGUCACUUAAAAGAAGCCUUGAGCGCCCCUGCCUUAUCGGAGCCGGAGUUUACCGCCCUAAGCACUUUAGGUGCAUAUAUCCGAGCUGCCCGGGAUGGACUCACCAGGGUCGCUCGCCUGUUCUCAACGGAUAUGCAGGUACAAAUCUUUAUGAACUUAGUGGAUAGAUAGUAGUAGCCCCCAAGACUUAAGCGGGUGGACAAACCUGAUUUAAGGGUCGUUUAAUGACCACAGGUUCUCAAGGAGAAGAACCGUGUGUUAACCCAGGAGCUCGAGACAAGCCGGACAUAGCUAAAUGCUGCUGCCUCUGAGCUUGAAGAAAUAACGAGUCCCAAUGUAUUACGGCAAAGAUAAGAAACUAGAAGAAGAGGUGAAGAAACCAGCCAAAGAGAUAAAUAGCUUGAAGGCUCAACUUUUGGAGGCACAACAGGAAAACCAGAAGCUGAAGGGCGGCAUAUUCGGUAUGAUUUGUGAACCAUCCGGAUUGUUGAUUGAUAACCCACAACUGUAGGGGAUCGGUUGUAGCCUCUUUCGAUGAGUAAGAGUGUCGAACCCAACGAGGAGCUAAAGGUAGAACAAAUAUUCCCUCAAGUUAUAUCGACCACCAGUACAACUCUACGCACGCUUAGCGUUCGCUUUACCUAAAACAAGUAUGAAACUAGAAGGACUUUGUAGGUGUUGUUGGAUAGGUUUGCAAGAUAAUAAAAAGGACGUAAAUAAAAAGUAGGGGCUUUUUAGAUAAAGAAGCAAUAAAGUAAAUAUAGCGAGUGUGGAAAAGUGGUGGUAGGAGUUGUGAAAUUGUCCCUAAGCAAUUGACUACUUUACUAGACCGAUAGCAAGUUUUAUGUGGGGGAGGCAUAAGCUAAAAUACUUUCUCUUAUUGGAUCAUAUGCACUUAUGAUUGGAACUCUAGCAAGCAUCCGCAACUACUAAAGAUCAUUAAGGUAAAACCCAACCAUAGCAUUAAAGCAUCAAGUCCCCUUUAUCCCAUACGCCACAACCCCCUUACUCGGGUUUAUGCUUCUGUCACUCAAGCAACCCACUAUAAGCGAAUCAUGAAUGUAUUGCAACACCCUCCAGCAGGAAUCCCUCACGCUUGCACGACACGGAGGGCACAAUAAGACAACAACAUAACCACAAGCAAAUUAAACCAAUCAUAGCAAUUCAUCAAUCACCGGUAGGACAACGAAAAUCUACUCAGACAUCAUAGGAUAGCAACACAUCAUUGGAUAAUAAUAUGAAGCAUAAAGCACCAUGUUCAAGUAGAGGGUACAGCGGGUUGCGGGAGAGUGGACCGCUAAAUAUAGAUGGGGGAAGGUGAUGGAAAUGUUGGUGAAGAUGAUGGAGGUGUUGGUGUAGAUCACGAUGAUGAUGAUGGCCCCCGCCAGAGUUCCGGUGCCACCGGAAGCAAGGGGGAGAGAGCCCCCCUUCUUCUUCUUCCUUGACCUUAUCCCUAGAUGGGAGAAGGGUUUCCCUUCUGGUCCUUGGCUCCCAUGGCGUGGGAGGGGAAAGAGCCCCUCCGAGAUUGGAUCUGUCUCUCUGUCUCUCUCUGUUUCUGCGUUCUCAGAUUCUGCCCUUUCACCAUUUCUUUUAUAUCCGGAGAUCCGUAACUCCGAUUGGAUUGAAAUUUUCGCCCAGAUUUUCUCUGAAAAUUAGCUUUCUUGCAGCAAAAGAAGAGUGUCAACCACCUUACGGAGUGCCCACGAGGGUCAGGGGCGUGCCUGCCCCCUGGGGCCCGCCCCCUGCCUCGUGGCCCCCUCGGGCACCGUCUCGCGUUGAUUUUUCUUCCAUAAAAUCAUAAAUAUUCCAAAAAUAUUCUCUGUACGUUUUUAUCCCGUUUGGACUCUGUUUGAUAUGGGGUUUCUGCGAAACAUAAAACAUGCAACAAAUAGGAACUGACACUAGGCACUGGAUCAAUAUGUUAGUCCCAAAAAUAAUAUAAAAUGUUGCCAAAAGUAUAUGGAAGUUGAAUAAUAUUGGCAUGGAACAAUCAAAAAUUAUAGAUACGACGGAGACGUAUCAUUGAUAUAAUCAUAUAAUGCAGAAUGUUAUAGUUUGGUUGAUGCAGGUAUGUUGACCGGCCACCCCGAAGAAGAAAUGCCCAUCCUACAAAGCGACGUUCUGAAGGAGCUGGCAAAGCUGCACGAGCGUGCUCGGAAGGCUAUGAAGAACAUGGCCAAAGCCUUAUAGCCUUCCAACGUCCCUCCAGAAAGUACGGAGGGGUUGGCUGAGGGAGUCCUGGAUUAUGGGGUCCUCGGGGAGCCGGCCUAUGUGACAUGGGCCGAACUAAUGGGCCGUGAAGAUACAAGAACAGAAGGCCUCCUCCCGUGUCUGGAUGGGACUCUCCUUUGUGUGGACGGCAAGCUUGGCGUCCGGAUGAAAAGUUUCCUUCGUCUGUAAACCGACUUUGUACACCCCUAGUCCCCUCCAGUGCCUAUAUAAACCGGAGGGUUUAGUCCAUAGCGACGAUCACAAUCAUAUAGGCUAGACAUCUAGGGUUUAGCCAUUACGAUCUCGAGGUAGAUCAACUCUAGUAACCCCUAUACUCAUCAUAGUCAAUCAAGCAGGAAGUAGGGUAUUACCUCCAUUAAGAGGGCCCGAACCUGGGUAAACAUCAUGUCCCCUGCAUCCUUGUUACCUUCGAUCCUUAGACGCAUAGUUCGGGACCCCCUACCAGAGAUCUAUCGGUUUUGACACCGACAUUGGUGCUUUCAUUGAGAGUUCCUCUGUGCCGUCGACAGAAGGAUUAAUGGCCCGCCUUGUCAUCAAAGACAGCAUCACUUCCAGAGAGGCCUUGGAUUCAGGGCAAACUCUCUGACUCGGCAGCUUCAUUAAGGGCGCUCACCCGGCCAUUAAGCCAGAAGCAACCCAACUCAUCGCCAAAAAUCACCUCUGUAUCGGCCCUGAAUACUCUGAAAAGUUGGAUCCGGCAGAUGUUUCGGCCUUAAAUGAACUGCUGGAUCGCAUCACCGUCCUGGGGGUCGCAACCGACUACGAUCGGAUUGGGCUUAAACCAGAUCAGAGAGAAAUCAGGUCUCCGCCGAUCACCCAUCAUGUGGCAAUCGUGGAGGAACAAGCCGACGAUGACUCUUCUCCCAUGUUGAGGACCUGGUAUGUUCAGCUUUCUGAACCCGGAGAGCCAGACUCUCGUCUUCUAGAAGACACUUCUUGUCCUCCAAACAUGGAAUUGGGCGCUGAGCCUAAAAACACACCGGAUGCUCCGGAGCCCUGGCCUUUAACCUCGGAAAUUCUUUAGAAUCCGGACUCCUCGGCAGGUCAGGGUUCGGAUUCGAUCCCACCCACCCACCACAAACAAUAUUCUCCAACAAACUCCGGUCCACCGGACAUAUGCAACUUAAUGUAUGUGCGGCAGCAGCCCCAGGAAACAGUCCACCACUUUUGGGCUAGAUUUCUGCUUGUUAAAAACAAGAUCAAGGACUGUUGCGACGACGACGCGAUCUCAGUAUUUUGCAACAAUUGCACAGAUGAGGGAAUCCUGAAUGCCCUCAACCGCCAUCGCGUACUGCACUUUGCCGAUUUGACACACAUAGUAUACAAGUACUGCGCAAUGGAAAGCGCCUGGAAAACCCAGACAGCCCGCUGGGAACCGCAUGCCUUUAGGCCAUCCCCGGGACGGGCAAAGAGAACACACCCUCGCGGAGCACCUAAUCAUCAUCCCGUGGACAAGAAAAUUAAACCCAUUAUGACGCAUUAGACUGUCCUUGAUGAAUGGCUCGACAAACCCUGCAAAAUUCACGUGACACCGGACAAUGAACCAAGGCAUAGCCUUCGAGCAUGUUGGAUACUCCAGUAGGUGGCCAAAAGCGGUGAGGGUCUCCUCACUAACAACACUCCAGAGAACUAUUCUUCGGAGGACAAUGAUCCUGAAGUAUUCACGGUCUUCGAGACCUUUCCAUCAAAUAAUCGGCACAAGAGAGCGCUCUGCAACCUCGCCGAAGUCUGCCAGGCGGCAGCAGUAAUAAUCCCUUGGAACGACACGUCUAUCGCCUUUAACGCCGAUGACGAACCAAGAGCUCGUUCAGUCUGGGCACCAGCCGCCUUGGUCCUAAACCCAAUCGUAGAUGGCUUCCGCCUCACUAAAGUGCUCAUGGACGGCGGCAGCAGACUGAACGUCAUUUACGAGGACACGCUCAAUAAAAUGCAAAUGGACAGGAGUCGCAUUGAGAAAAGUGACACAACCUUUCGCGGUAUUAUCCCCAGCUGAGAAGCCAGAAGCUCAAGAAAAAUAAAACUCGAUGUAGUAUUCGGCACACCAGAGAAUUACAGGUCCGAAUAGUUACUCUUCCAUGUGGCACCAAUCAACAGCAGGUAUCAUGCUCUGCUGGGGCGAGAUGCAUUCACGCGCUUCCAAGCCAUACCCCAUUACGGGUAUAUGAAGCUCAAAAUGCCAGGUCCCAAUGGAAUCAUCACUAUAGUCAGCUAUCCGUACAUCGCCCUCCGAGACGAAAACAAAACCGCAUCUCUGGCCCUUGAGGUGUUAUUCGAGGCCCUCACGGCCGAGGAACUGACCACUCUAUGUUCCACAGUAGACAGGGACAAUGUAAUCCUCGAUAAGAGACCAAAGUCUACCUCCUUCAAGCAGAUGACGAGAUAGUCAAAUUUUAAGUCCACCCGACGGACCCCAAUAAAACAGCUUCCAUUGGGGCACAGCUGGAUCCAACAGUGGCCACCACACUAUGCACAUUCUUGUGUGAAAACUGGGACAUUUUUGCCUCGCAUCCUUCCGAUAUGCCAGGUAUCCCACAAAGACUAGCCGAGCAUAGUCUUAGUAUAUUGAAAGGAUACAAACCAGUCAAACAAACUCUUUAUCGAUUCUCCGAACCCAAACGACAAGCUAUGGGUGAGGAGUGAUACGUCUCCAACGUAUCUAUAAUUUUUGAUUGUUCCAUGCUAUUAUAUUACCCCUUUUGGAUGUUUAUGGGCUUUAUUUUACACAUUUAUAUCAUUUUUGGGACUAACCUACUAACCGGAGGCCCAACCCUUAUUGUUCUUUUUUUGCCUAUUUCAGUACUUCAAAGAAAAGGAAUAUCAAAUGGAGUCCAAACGGAAUGAAACCUUCGGGAGCAUGAUUUUUGGAAUGAACGUGAUCCAGAGGACUUAGAGUGCAAGUCAAGAAGCAGCCGAAGCUUCCAUGAUAUAGGACGGCGCCCCCCUAUAGGGCGCGCCCCCUGUCUCAUGGGCCCCUCAGGCAUCCACCGACAUACUUCUUCCUACUAUAUAAGCCUACGUACCCCGAAAACAUCCAGGGAGCAACCGAAACACAAUUUCCACCGCCACAACCUUCUGUAUCCGCGAGAUCUCAUCUUGGAGCCUUCGUCGGCGCUCUGUCGGAGGGGGAAUCGACCACGGAGGGCUUCUACAUCAACAUCCUUGCCCCUCUGAUGAGUUGUGAGUAGUUUACCACAGACCUACGGGUCCAUAGUUAUUAGCUAGAUGGCUUCUUCUCACUUUUUGGAUCUCAAUACAAUGUUCUCCCCCUCUCUUGUGGAGAUCUAUUCGAUGUAAACUCCUUUUGCGGUGUGUUUGUCGAGAUCCGAUGAAUUGUGGGUUUAUGAUCAAGUUUAUCUAUGAAUAAUAUUUGAAUCUUCUCUGAAUUCUUUUAUGUAUGAUUGAGUUAUCUUUGCAAGUCUCUUCGAAUUAUCAUUUUGGUUUGGCCUACUAGAUUGAUCUUUCUUGCCAUGGGACAAGUGCUUAGCUUUGGGUUCAAUCUUGCGGUGUCCUUACCCAGUGACAGAAAGGGUUGCAAGGCACGUAUUGUAUUGUUGCCAUCAAGGAUAACAAGAUGGGGUUUAUAUCAUAUUGCUUGAGUUUAUCCCUCUACAUCAUGUCAUCUUGCUUAAUGCGUUACUCUGUUCUUAUGAACUUAAUACUCUAGAUGCAGGCAGGAGUCGGUCGAUGUGUGGAGUAAUAGUAGUAGAUGCAGGCAGGAGUCGGUCUACUUGUCACGGACGUGAUGCCUAUAUACAUGAUCAUGCCUAGAUAAUCUCAUAAUUAUUCGCUUUUCUAUCAAUUGCUCGACAGUAAUUUGUUCACCCACCGUAAUACUUAUGCUAUCUUGAGAGAAGCCACUAGUGAAACCUAUGGCCCCCGGGUCUAUCUCUUAUCAUAUUUGCUUCCAAUCUACUUUUAUUUGAAUCUUUACUUUUUGCAUCUAUAUUAUAAAAUACGAAAAAUAUAUUUAUCUUAUCUUACUAUCUUUAUUAGAUCUCACUUUUGCAAGUGGCCGUGAAGGGAUUGACAACCCCUUUAUUGCGGUGGUUGCGAGUUCUUUGUUUGUUUGUGUAGGUGCGUGGGACUUUUGAGGAGCCUCCUACUGGAUUGAUACCUUGGUUCUCAAAAACUAAGGGAAAUACUUACGCUACUAUUGCUGCAUCACCCUUUCCUCUUCAGGGAAAACCAACGCAAGCUCAAGAUGUAGCAAGAAGGAUUUCUAGCGCCGUUGCUAGGGAGGUCUUCGCUCAAGUCAAGACAUACCAAGUACCCAUCAAAAACUCAUCUCCCUCGCAUUUACAUUAUUUGCCAUUUGCCUCUCGUUUUCCUCUCCCCCACUUCACCCUUGCCGUUUUAUCCGCCCUCUCUUUCCCAAUCUCCUCCUCUCUUUUCUCUUGCCUUUUUCCGUUUGCCGUAUGUUAGUUCGUUUACCUUGUCACCAUGGCUAGUCCUCCUAUCCUUAUUAUCACUCUUGAACAAGAAAUUCUCAAUUUUAAGCAAAGGGAGGGAGAAAAUUUAAAAGAUGCCCGGCAUAGAAUUUGCAAUGCCCAAUAUAAAUCUUCUAGGAAGCUUUCCACUUCUGUUCUUCUUUGCAAUUUUUAUGUAGGCAUUACUCCUUGGAAUAGAUGUGUUCUUGAUAUUGCUACCGGAGGUGAUUUCAUGAGUAGCCAUACGUUUGAUGCUUAUAAUGCUAUGUUAGAUUUGUUUGGUCCACCACCUCUUUUGAUCAAUGGAAUUGUUUUAACUUUAGAACACGUUAUGCAAUGGCUUGAGAUUAUUGAAAAUAAAAUUUCCACUGUUGAGUUGAUUGAAAAUUUGGAUAAAAAGAUUCAUAAUCACAUUACCCAAUAUGGAUCUAGGGUUGGAGUUACUUUGAAAAAUCUUAAAGAAAAAGAACCUAUAGUUAAUGAGAAAAUAGAUCUAGAUUCUGCUAGAAUCGGUAAACUUGAGGAUAUCAUUACAAACUUAGGUUCCGCAUUUUCCCCCAUGAAAAACACUCCAAAAUCCCCUACUAAAACUGCCAAGUUUAUUUAUAUUCCUAAAAAUAAGGGUGAAUCUUCUAGUAAGGGAGACGCGGAUCUCAAAUCUAUAAGUGUUCAUCCCAAUUGUCUCUCUAUCGUUAAAGAACCUUUUGCUACCAAUGAAUUUCUUGAUUUUUUGCCUAAAGGUUUAGCCAUUGCUAAAAGAAGAGAGAUCCCUAAAGAUCACAAGUGCUCUAUUGAUGAAUUUAGUGCCAAAGAUGGCACUACUUAGAUCUAUCUUCGCUCUUAUGCCUAGCUAGGGGCGUUAAACGAUAGCGCUAGUUGGGAGGCAACCCAAUUUUCUUUAUGUUUUUUGUUUUUGCUCCUGUUUAGUAAUAAAUCUUGCAUCUAGCUUCUGUUCAGAUGUGUUUUUAUCUUUUAAUUAGUGUUUGUGCCAAGUAGAACCUAUAGGAUAACCUAUGAUGAUAGUUGAUUUGAUUCUGCUGAAAAACAGAAACUUUGCACGCAUAAAUUUAGUUUUGUUAAAUCACAGAAACAUGAUUUUGCGUUGAUUAUUUUUUUGAUGAUCAAUAAACAAAUUUUCCAGGACUUUCUAUUUUGGUAAGAUUUUUAGAGUUCCAGAAGUUUGCGUUAGUUACAAAUUGCUACAGACUGUUCUGUUUUUGACAGAUUCUGUUUUUCGUGUGUUGUUUGCUUAUUUCGAUGCAUUUAUGGCUAGUAAAUUAGUUUAUAAACCAUAGAGAAGUUUGAUUAAAGUAGGUUUAACACUAAAAAAAUAAAGAAUGAGUUCAUUACAGUACCUUAUGUGGUGGUUUUGCUUUCUUUCACUAACGGAGCUUAUAAGAUUUCCUGUUGAAUUUUGCGUUGUGAAGUUUUCAAGUUUUGGGUAAAGCUUUUAUGGACUAUGGAAUAAGGAGUGGCAAGAGCCUAAGCUUGGGGAUGCCCAUGGCACCCCAAGAUAUUUAAGAAUAGCCAAAAGCAUAAGCUUGGGGAUGCCCCGGGAAGGCAUCCCCUCUUUCGUCUUCGUUCAUUAGUAACUUUACUUGGAGCUAUAUUUUUAUUCGCCACAUGAUAUGUGUUUUGCUUGGAGCAUCGUGUAUUAUAUUAGUCUUUGCUUUUUAGUUUACCACAAUAAUCCUUUCUGUACACACCUUUUGGGAGAAGCCUAUUUGAUUAGAAUUUGCUAGAAUACUCUAUGUGCUUCACUUAUAUCUUUUGAGCUUGAUAGUUUUUGCUCUAGUGCUUCACUUAUAUCUUUUAGAGCAUGGUGGUGACUUAUUUCUGUAGAAAUUGCUAGUCUCUCAUGCUUCACUUAUAUCUUUUUAAGAGUCUUGUAGAACAGCAUGGUAUUUGCUAUGGUUAUAAAAUUGGUCCUAGAAUGGUAGGCAUCCAAGUUGGGUAUAACAAAAACUAUCAUAGGAAGUGAAUUGGAUGCUAUGAUCAAUUUGAUACUUGAUAAUUGUAUUGAGAUAUAGAGGUAGUGAUAUUAAAGUCAUGCUAGUUGGGUGAUUAUGAAUUCAAAGAAUGCUUGUGUUGAAGUUAGCAAAUCCCGUAACAUGCACGUAUGGUUAAAGUUGUGUAACAAAUUUGAAACAUGAAGUGUACCUGGCUUGAGCAUCCUUAUGAGUGGUGGUCGGGGACGAGCGAUGGUCUUUUCCUACCAAUCUAUCCCCUAGGAGCAUGCGUGUAGUACUUGAUUUUUGAUGACUUCUAAAUUUUUGCCAUAAGUAUAUGAGUUCUUUUGACUAAUGUUGAGUCCAUGGAUUAUACGCACUCUUGCCUUUCCGCCAUUGCUAGCCUCUUCGGUACCGUGCAUUGCCCUUUCUCACCUUGAGAGUUGGUGCAAACUUCACCGGUGCAUCCAAAACCCGUGAUACGAUACGCUCUAUCACACAUAAACCUCCUUAUAUCUUCCUCAAAACAGCCACCAUACCUACCUAUUGUGGCAUUUCCAUAGCCAUUCCGAGAUAUAUUGCCAUUCAACUUUCCACCAUUCCGUUCAUCAUCAUCAUGACAUACUUUACUUUUGUCAUAUUGCCAUUGCAUGAUCAUGUAGUUGACAUCGUAUUUGUGGCAAAGCCCCCAUGCAUUAUUUUUCAUACAUGUCACUCUUGAUUCAUUGCACCAUCCCGGUACACCGCCAGAGGCAUUCAUAUAGAGUCAUAUCUUGUUCUAGUUUCGAGUUGUAAUUCAUAUGUUGUAAUCACUAGAAGUGUGAUGAUCAUCAUUAUUAGAGCAUUGCCCAAAGAAAAAAAGAAGAAAAAAAAAGAAAAAAAAGGAAGAAAGGCCAAAAGAAAAAAAGGAAGGCCCAAAAAAAGAAAAUAAAUAAGGGCAAUGUUACUAUCUCUUUUUCCACACUUGUGCUUCAAAGUAGCACCACGUUUUUCAUAUAGUGAGUCUCAUAAGUUGUCUUUUUCAUACUAGUGGGAAUUUUUCAUUAUAGAACUUGGCUUGUAUAUUCCUACGAUGGGCUUCCUAAAAUGCCCUAGGUCUUCGUGAGCAAGCAAGUUGGAUGCACACCCACUAGUUUUCUUUUGUUGAGCAUUCAUUUAUAGCUCUAAGUGCAUCCGUUGCAUGGCAAUCCCUACUCCUCAUGUUGACAUCAAUUGAUGGGCAUCUCCAUAGCCUGUUGAUUAUCCUCAUCAAUGUGAGACUUUCUCUUUUUUUGUCUUCUCCACACAAUCCCCAUCAUCAUAUUCUAUUCCACCCAUAGUGCUAUAUCCAUGGCUCACGCUCAUGUAUUGCGUGAAGGUUGAAAAAGUUUGAGAUUAUUUAAGUAUGAAACAAUUGCUUGGCUUGUCAUCGGGGGUAUAGAAGUUGGGAACAUCUUUGUGUGACGAAAAUGAAGCAUAGCCUAACUAUAUGAUUUUGUAGGGAUGAACUUUCUUUUGUCAUGUUAUUUUGAGAAGACAUGAUUACUUUGAUUAGUAUGCUUGAAGUGUUACUAUUUCUUUUUUCAAUAUGAACUUUUAUUUUGAAUCAUUUGGAUCUGAACAUUCAUGCCACAAUAAAGAAAAUUACAUUGAGAAUUAUGCUAGGUAGCAUUCCACAUCAAAAAUUUCUUUUUUAUCAUUUACCUACUCGAGGACAAGCAGGAAUUAAGCUUGGGGAUGCUCGAUACGUCUCCAACGUAUCUAUAAUUUUUGAUUGUUCCAUGCUAUUAUAUUACCCCUUUUGGAUGUUUAUGGGCUUUAUUUUACACAUUUAUAUCAUUUUUGGGACUAACCUACUAACCGAAGGCCCAGCCCGUAUUGCUGUUUUUUUGCCUAUUUCAGUAUUUCGAAGAAAAGGAAUAUCAAACGGAGUCCAAACGGAAUGAAACCUUCGAGAGCGUGAUUUUUGGAACAAAUGUGAUCCAGAGGACUUGGAGUGCAAGUCAAGAAGCAGCCGAAGCUUCCACGAGAUAGGACGGCGCCCCCCACCCCACCCCAUGGGCGCGACCCCUGUCUCAUGGGCCCCUCGGGCGUCCACCGACGUAAUUCUUCCUCCUAUAUAAGCCUACAUACCCUGAAAACAUCCAGGGAGCAACUGAAACACAAUUUCCACCGCCGUAACCUUCUGUAUCUCGAGAUCUCAUCUUGGAGCCUUCGUCGGUGCUCUGCUGGAGGGGGAAUCGACCACGAAGGGCUUCUACAUCAACAUCCUUGACCCUCCGAUGAGUUGUGAGUAGUUUACCACAGACCUACGGGUCCAUAGUUAUUAGCUAGAUGGCUUCUUCUCUCUUUUUGGAUCUCAAUACAAUGUUCUCCCCCUCUCUUGUGGAAAUCUAUUCGAUGUAAACUCUUUUUGCGGUGUGUUUGUCGAGAUCCGAUGAAUUGUGGGUUUAUGAUCAAGUUUAUCUAUGAAUAAUAUUUGAAUCUUCUCUAAAUUCUUUUAUGUAUGAUUGAGUUAUCUUUGCAAGUCUCUUCAAAUUAUCAGUUUGGUUUGGCCUACUAGAUUGAUCUUUCUUGCCAUGGGAGAAGUGCUUAGCUCUGGGUUCAAUCUUGCGUGUCCUUACCCAGUGAUAGAAAGGGUUGCAAGGCACGUAUUGUAUUGUUGCCAUCAAGGAUAACAAGAUGGGGUUUAUAUCAUAUUGCUUGAGUUUAUCCCUCUACAUCAUGUCAUCUUGCUUAAUGUGUUACUCUGUUCUUAUGAACUUAAUACUCUAGAUGCAGGAAGGAGUCGGUCGAUGUGUGGAGUAAUAGUAGUAGAUGCAGGCAGGAGUCGGUCUACUUGUCACGGACGUGAUGCCUAUAUACAUGAUCAUGCCUAGAUAAUCUCAUAAUUAUUCGCUUUUCUAUCAAUUGCUCGACAAUAAUUUGUUCACCCACCGUAAUACUUAUGCUAUCUUGAGAGAAGCCACUAGUGAAACCUAUGGCCCCCGGGUCUAUCUCUUAUCAUAUUUGCUUCCAAUCUACUUUUAUUUGCAUCUUUACUUUUUGCAUCUAUAUUAUAAAAUACAGUAAAUAUAUUUAUCUUAUCUUACUAUCUUUAUUAGAUCUCACUUUCGCAAGUGGCCGUGAAGGGAUUGACAACUCCUUUAUUGCCUUGGUUGCGAGUUCUUUGUUUGUUUGUGUAGGUGCGUGGGACUUUUGAGGAGCCUCCUACUGGAUUGAUACCUUGGUUCUCAAAAUCUGAGGGAAAUACUUACGCUACUAUUGUUGUAUCACCCUUUCCUCUUCAAGGAAAACCAACGCAAGCUCAAGACGUAGCAAGGAGCUAGCCAAGCAACUCGAAGCCGGGUUCAUCAGAGAAAUCAAACAUCCGGAUUGGCUAGCAAACCUGGUCAUGGUACCUAAGAAGGAUAAAUCAUGGUGCAUGUGUGUCGAUUUCAAAGACCUUAACAAGGCUUCCCCAAGGACCCCUUCCCACUACCUCGAAUCAACCAAAUUAUCGACACUACCGCAGGGCACGGUUUCUUGUGCUUCCUAGACGCAUAUUCCGGAUAUCAUCUAAUUUAGAUGAAAGAAUCCGAUCAGCCCACAACGGCAUUCAUCACUCCGUACGGGCCCAUCUGCUUCAAUACUAUGCCUUCCGGGCUCAAGAAAGCCGGCGCAACUUACCAACGCACGAUUCAAACAUGCUUGGAAAAAUAGAUCGGCAAAACAGUGGAGGCAUACAUAGAUGACAUAGUCAUCAAGACCAAAAAUGUCAAUUCAUUGGUCGAUGACUUACGCCUUACAUUUGACAACCUCCGAACAAAUGACAUACGGCUCAAUCCGGAAAAAUGUGUUUUUGGCAUUCCAACCGGAAAACUGCUUGGGUUCAUCAUCUCCAAUAGACGAAUUUAAGCGAACCCCGCUAAAAUCCGAGCCUUGUCACAGUUGGCAACAACAACAGACCUCAAGCAGGUCCAAAAAAUUAGUCAGGUGUGUGGCAUCUUUAAGCCAUUUUAUCUCAAGAUUAGGGGAAAAGGUAUUGCCAUUAUAUUGUUUGGUGCGCCGCACUGACAAUUUUGUGUGGACGGACGCUGCCACAGCCGGACUGGAGGAAAUAAAGGCUUUGUUAGCAAGCAACCCAAUCCUGGCCGCAUCAACUGUCGGCGAACCAAUGCUGCUCUACAAAUCUGCAACUCACCAAGUAGUGAGUGCGGUGCUCGUCGUCGAAUGGAAUGAGGAGGGACACAAAUUCCCACUUCAAAUACCGGUAUAUUAUGUAUCAAUGGUCCUUACACCAUGUAAAUCCCGGUACCAGCAUUACCGAAAGAUAGCAUAUGCAAACUUCAUGGCAUCCCGCAAGCUGCAGCACUACUUUCAAGAGUGCUCCAUCACGGUCGCUUCCGAAGUACCACUUAACGAUAUUAUAAACAACUGGGACGCCACCAGCCGGAUUGCCAAAUGGGCCAUUGAGCUCCUACCAUUUGAAAUAAUUUACAAGCCACACCGAGAUAUUAAAUCUCAGGUGUUGGCUGACUUCGUCAUCGAAUGUACAAAGGCCGAAAUCCCUAAAGAAUACGGCACAUACUCCAACUGGGUGAUGCACUUCGACGGCUCCAAGAUGUUAGCCGGAUUAGGGGCUGGUGUCGUCUUGACAUCCCCCACAGGAGAUACAAUCCGUUAUGUUCUCCAACUACUGUACACAGAUUCUAACAAUGCAGCCGAAUACGAGACCUUAUUACACGGUCUCCGGAUUGUCGUCUCCAUAGGCAUACAAUGCCUUGAAGUGCGUGGGGAUUCAAACCUCGCAAUACCUCAGAUAAAUGGAGACUUCAACGCAAAAGAUUCGAAGAUGGCGGAUUAUCGUAAUGUCGUACUCAAAAUUUCAGCUUGAUUUGAAGGGCUCGAGUUUCAUCUUGUGGCUCGAGAGAGUAAUCAAGCGGCGGACAUACUUGCCCACAUGGGCGCUAAACGCGACCCCGUCCCACCUAACACCUUUAUUGAGAGGCUUUUUAAGCCGUCCGUAGUGUGGCAGGACAAUAGCGGCAACAUUGUUCUAGAGCUAACCAUACCCCGGAUUCCAAACACAACUUCGAUAUCAUCGGGGGUUUGGACACCGAGAUAACACCAUCGACCCACGAAAUCAUGGUUGUAAUCUCCCCAUGGACCGAACAUUUCCUCUCCCACCUUACUAGGAACAAGCUCACUGAUGAUCGGACAGAGGCCCACCGCAUUGUUCGACGUUCGAAGGCUUACAAAGUUCAUAAGGGGGAACUGUACAAGAAAAGUACACCCGGAGUCUUACAACGGUGUAUCUCCGAAGAAGAAGGGUGACAGCUCUUGGACAAUAUACACACUGGUCUUGGUGGCCAUCAUGCCGCUUCUCGGGCCCUUGUAAGUAAGGCCUUCUGUAUGGGUUUCUUUUGGCCCACAGCCCGAGCAGACGCACAAGACCUCGUACAGCGAUGUGUUGGAUGCCAGCUUUUUGCAAAUCAAAGCCAUAUGCCGCCCACUGCUUUGCGAACAAUCCCCAUUAUGUGGCCUUUUGUGGUCUGGGGGCUUGACAUGGUCGAACCCCUUAAAGGGGGGAGCCAUAAGAAGAAAUAUUUACUGGUCAUGAUCGACAAAUUCACUAAGUGGAUAGAAGCCAAACCAGUCAAAAAGGCCGAGGUUGGACCAGUUAUAGACUUCAUAUCCGGUGUGGUGCACCGUUAUGGUGUACCGCAUUGUAUCAUUACUGACAAUGGUUCCAACUUUACGGAUGAUGAGGUAAAAACCUGGUGCGCUAAUUUGGGCAUUAAGCUCGAUUACGCCUCUGUAUAUCACCCUCAGACAAACGGACAGGUCGAACGGGCUAACGGCUUGAUUAUGAGCGGCAUUUAACCCAGACUAGUAUGAUCCUUGCACGAAUCAGACAAGCACUAGGUUGAAGAACUCGAUUCCGUACUGUGGGGGCUACAUACCACGCCCAAUCGCAUGACCGGAUACACACCUUUUUUCAUGAUGUACAGCGCCGAGGCAGUACUGCCUUGUGACAUUAUUCAUGACUCACCUCGAGUGCACAUGUAUGAAGAGAGGGAGGCCGAGCUCGAUCGGCGGGAUGAUCUGGAUGGCUUGGAGGAGGAGUGCGAUGUCGCGAAGGCCCGUUCCGCAUUUUACCAACAGCAAGCCCGGCGAUAUCAAAGCAGGGAAGUACAGGCAAAGACCUAUAAUGUCGGUGAACUCGUCCUGCGCCUACCAGAGAAGAAAAAGGACAAGCUCCAACCCAAAUGGGAGGGUCCCUUCAUCAUAGAUGAAGUCCUCACUGGAGGAGCCUAUCGCCUGUGCAACACUUCAAAUGAUCGUUUAGAGCCAAACCCAUGGAACGCUGCUCGGCUCCGCAGAUUCUACGCCUAAAUCCACACUUGUAACUUUUUCGUCUUUUCUCCUUUUCACCCCUCUUUUCUCUUUUUUCGUUUUUAUAACUUCUACCAGUGUCCGGAUCAACCGUACACUCAAGGGAUAUACAUCAUCAAAUGUACACACCCCUUAUCACCUGGGGGCUUCCUUUUACAAAAGCUUAUUCUGAUUAUUAUAUUAGAGCGUCAAGCUCACCGUACAUAUGUGUUGUCUAUGUUGGGGAACGUAGUAAUUUCAAAAAAAUUCCUACGCACACGCAAGAUCAUGGUGAUGGCAUAGCAACGAGAGGGGAGAGUGUUGUCCAUGUACCCUCGUAGACCGUAAGCGGAAGCGUUAUGACAACGCGGUUGAUGUAGUUGUACGUCUUCACGAUCCGACCGAUCCAUGCACCGAACAUACGGCACCUCCGAGUUCAGCACACGUUCAGCUCGAUGACGAUCCCCGGGCUCCGAUCCAGCAAAGCUUCGGGGAUGAGUUCCGUCAGCACGACGGCGUGGUGACGAUGAUGAUGUUCUACCGGCGCAGGGCUUCGCCUAAACUCCGCGACGAUAUGACCGAGUUGGAAUAUGGUGGAGGGGGGCACCGCACACGGCUAAGGAAUGAUCCGUAGAUCAACUUGUGUGUCAUGGGGUACCCCCCUGCCCCCGUAUAUAAAGGAGCAAGGGGGGAGGAGGCCGGCCCUAGGAGGGGGCGCGCCAAGUGUGGAGUCCUACUAGGACUCCCUAGUCCUAGUAGGAUUCCACCUCCCUUGUUGGAGUAGGAGAAGGGGAAAGAGGGGGAGAGGAAGAAGGAAAGGGGGGCUGAGCCCCUUGUCCAAUUCGGACCAAAGGGGGGCGCAGGCCUCCUUCCUUUUGGCCUCUCUCCUCUAUUCCCGUAUGGCCCAAUAAGGCCCAUAUACUCCCCGGCGAAUUCCCGUAACUCUCCCGUACUCCGAAAAAUACCCGAAUCACUCGAAACCUUUCCGAACUCCGAAUAUAGUCGUCCAAUAUAUUGAUCUUUACGUCUCAACCAUUUCGAGACUCCUAGUCAUGUCCCCGAUCUCAUCCGGGACUCCGAACUCCUUCGGUACAUCAAAACUCAUAAACUCAUAAUAUAACUGUCAUCGAAACCUUAAGCGUGCGGACCCUACGGGUUCGAGAACUAUGUAGACAUGACCUAGAACUAUUCUCGGUCAAUAACCAAUAGCGGAACCUGGAUGCCCAUAUUGGCUUCUACAUAUUCUACGAAGAUCUUUAUCGGUCAAACCGCAUAACAACAUACGUUGUUCCCUUUGUCAUCAGUAUGUUACUUGCCCGAGAUUCGAUCGUCGGUAUCCAAUACCUAGUUCAAUCUCGUUACCGGCAAGUCUCUUUACUCGUUCCGUAAUACAUCAUCUCGCAACUAACUCAUUAGUUGCAUUGCUUGCAAGGCUUAUGUGAUGUGCAUUACCGAGAGGGCCCAGAGAUACCUCUCCGACAUUCGAAGUGACAAAUCCUAAUCUCGAAAUACGCCAACCCAACAAGUACCUUCGGAGACACCUAUAAAGCACCUUUAUAAUCACCCAGUUAUGUUGUGACGUUUGGUAGCACACAAAGUGUUCCUCCGGUAAACGGGAUUUGCAUAAUCUCAUAGUCAUAGGAACAUGUAUAAGUCAUGAAGAAAGCAAUAGCAACAUGCUAAACGAUCGGGUGCUAAGCAAACGGAAUGGGUCAUGUCAAUCAGAUCAUUCAACUAAUGAUGUGAUCCCUUUAAUCAAAUAACAACUCUUUGUCCAUGGUUAGGAAACAUAACCAUCUUUGAUUAACAAGCUAGUCAAGUAGAGGCAUACUAGUGACACUCUGUUUGUCUAUCUAUUCACACAUGUAUUAUGUUUCCGGUUAAUAAAAUUCUAGCAUGAAUAAUAAAUAUUUAUCAUGAUAUAAGGAAAUAAAUAAUAACUUUAUUAUUGCCUCUAGGGCAUAUUUCCUUCAGUCUCCCACUUGCACUAGAGUCAAUAAUCUAGAUCACAUCACCAUGUGAUUAAUAUCGAUAGUUCACAUCAUCAUGUGAUUAACACCCAUAGUUCACAUCGCCAUGUGACCAACACCCAAAGGGUUUACUAGAUUCAGUAAUCUAGUUCACAUCGCUAUGUGAUUAACACCCAAAGAGUACUAAGGUGUGAUCAUGUUUUGCUUGUGAGAGAAUCUUAGUCAACGGGUCUUUCACAUUCAGAUCCGUUAUGUAUUUUGCAAUUUUCUAUGUCUACAAUGCUCUGCACGGAGCUACUCUAGCUAAUUGCUCCCACUUUCAAUUUGUAUCUAGAUCGAGACUUAGAGUCAUCCAGAUUGGUGUCAAAACUUGCAUCGACGUAACUCUUUACGACGAACUUUUUGUCACUUCCAUAAUCGAGAAACAUAUCCUUACUCCACUAAGGAUAAUUUUGACCGCUGUCCAGUGAUCUACUCCUAGAUCACUAUUGUACUCCCUUGCCAAACUCAGUGUAGGGUAUACAAUAGAUCUGGUACACAGCAUGGCAUACUUUAUAGAACCUAUGGCCAAGGCAUAGGGAAUGACUUUCAUUCUCUUUCUAUCUUCUGCUGUGGUCGGGUUUUGAGUCUUACUCAAUUUCACAUCUUGUAACACAGGCAAGAACUCUUUCUUUGACUGUUCCAUUUUGAACUACUUCAAAAUCUUGUCAAGGUAUGUACUCAUUGAAAAAAGUUAUCAAGCGUCUUGAUCUAUUUCUAUAGAUCUUGAUGCUCAAUAUGUAAGCAGCUUCACCGAGGUCUUUCUUUGAAAAACUCCUUUCAAACACUCCUUUAUGCUUUGCAGAAUAAUUCUACAUUAUUUCCGAUCUACAAUAUGUCAUUCACAUAUACUUAUCAGAAAUGUUGUAGUGCUCCCACUCACUUUUUAGUAAAUACAGGCUUCAGCGCAAGUCUGUAUAAAACUAUAUGCUUUGAUCAACUUAUCAAAACGUAUAUUCCAACUCCGAGAUGCUUGCACCAGUCCAUAGAUGGAUCGCUGGAGCUUGAGUAUUUUGUCAGCACCUUUAGAAUUGACAAAACCUUCUGGUUGCAUCAUAUACAACUCUACUUUAAAUCCAUUAAGGAAUGUAGUUUUGUUUAUCGAUUUGCCAGAUUUCAUAAAAUUGCGGCAAUUGCUAACAUGAUUUGGACAGACUUAAGCAUCGCUACGAGUGAGAAAAUUUCAUCGUAGUCAACACCUUGAACUUUGUCAAAAACCUUUUUCGACAAGUCUAGCUUUGUAGAUAGUAACACUACUAUCAACGUCCGUCUUCCUCUUGUAGAUCCAUUUAUUUUCUAUGGUUUUCCAAUCAUCGGGCAAAUCCAUCAAAGUCCAUACUUUGUUCUCAUACAUGGAUCAUAUCUCAGAUUUCAUGGCCUCAAACUAUUUUGCGGAAUCUGGGCUCAUCAUCGCUUCCUCAUAGUUCGUAGGUUCGUCAUGGUCAAGUAACAUGACCUCCAGAAUGGGAUUACCGUACCACUCUGGUGCGGAUCUCACUCUGGUUGACCUACGAGGUUCGGUAGUAACUUGAUCUGAAGUUACAUGAUCAUCAUCAGUAUCUUCCUCACUAAUUGGUGUAGUAGUCACAGGAAUAGAUUUCUGUGAUGAACUACUUUCCAAUAAGGGAGAAGGUACAAUUACCUUAUAAAGUUCUACUUUCCUCCCACUCACUUCUUUCGAGAGAAACUCCUUCUCUAGAAAGGAUCCAUUAUUAGCAACGAAUGUUUUGCCUUCGGAUUUGUGAUAGAAGGUGUACCCAACAGUUUCCUUUGGGUAUUCUAUGAAGACGCACUUCUCCAAUUUGGGUUCGAGCUUAUCAGGUUGAAAACCUUUUUCAUAUAAGCAUCGCAACUCCAAACUUUAAGAAACGACAGCUUAGGUUUACUGCUAAACCAUAGUUCAUACGGUGUCGUCUCAACGGAUUUUGAUGGUGCCCUAUUAAACGUGAAUGCAGCUGUCUCUAAUGCAUAACCCCAAAAUGAUAUUGGUAAAUCGGUAAGAGACAUCAUUGAUUGCACCAUAUCAAAAUAAAGUACGAUUAUGACGUUCGGACACACCAUAACGUUGUGGUGUUCCAGGUGGCGUGAGCUGUGAAACUAUUCCACAUUGUUUUAAUUGAAGACCAAACUCGUAACUCAAAUAUGCAUCUCCACGCUCAGAUCGCAGAAACUUUGUUUUCUUGUUACGAUGAUUUUCCACUUCACUCUAAAAUUCUUUGAACCUUUCAACUAUUUCAAACUUAUGUUUCAUCAAGUAGAUAUACCCAUAUCUGCUCAAAUCAUCUUGUGAAGGUCAGAAAAUAACGAUACUUGCCACGAGCAUCAACACUCAUUGGAUCGCAUACAUCGGUAUGUAUUAUUUCCAAUAAGUCAGUAGCUUGUUCCAUUGUUCCGGAGAACGGAGUUUUAGUCAUCUUGCCCAAAAGGCACGGUUCGCAAGCAUCAAAUGAUUCAUAACCAAGUGAUUCCGAAAAUCCAUCUCUAUGGAGUUUCUUCAUGCGCUUUACACCGAUAUGACCCAAACGGCAGUGCCACAAACAAGUUGCACUAUCAUUAUUAACUUUGAAUCUUUUGGCAUCAAUAUUAUGAAUAUGUGUAUCACUAUGAUCGAGAUCCAACAAACUAUUUUUAUUGGGUGUAUAACCAUCGAAGGUUUUAUUCAUGUAAACAGAAUAACAAUUAUUCUUUAACUUCAAAUGAAUAAUCGUAUUGCAAUAAACAUGAUAUUAUCAUAUUUAUGCUCAAUGCAAACACCAAAUAACAUUUAUUUAGGUUUAACACUAAUCCCGAAAGUAUAGGGAGUGUGCGAUGAUGAUCAUAUCAAUCUUGGAACUACUUCCAACACUCAUCGUCACUUCCCCUUCAAUUAGUCUCUGUUUAUUCUGUAACUCAUGUUUCGAGUUACUAAUCUUAGCAACCAAACAAGUAUCAAAUACUCAGGGGCUACUAUAAACACUAGUAAGGUACACAUCAAUAACCUGUAUUUCAAAUAUACCCUUGUUCACUUUGCCAUCCUUCUUAUCCGCCAAAUACUUGGGGUAGUUCUGCUUCCAGUGACCAGUCCCUUUGCAGUAGAAGCACUUAGUCUCAGGCUUAGGUCCAGACUUGGGCUUCUUCACUUGAGCAGCAACUUGCUUGCUGUUCUUCUUGAAGUUCCCUUCUAUCCCUUUGCCCUUUUCUUGAAACUAGUGGUCUUGUUAACCAUCAACACUUGAUGUUCUUUCUUGAUUUCUACCUUCAUCGAUUUCAUCAUCAUGAAAAACUCGGGAAUCAUUUUCAUCAUCCCUUGCAUACUAUAGUUCAUCACGAAGGUCUACUAACUUGGUGAUGGUGACUAGAGAAUUCUGUCAAUCACUAUCUUAUCUGGAAGAUUAACUCCCACUUGAUUCAAGCGAUUGUAGUACCCAGACAAUCUGAGCACAUGCUCACUAGUUGAGCGAUUCUCCUCCAUCUUUUAGCUAUAGAAGUUGUUGGCGACUUCAUAUCUCUCAAUUCAGGUAUUUGCUUGAAAUAUUAACUUCAACUCCUGGAACAUCUCAUAUGGUCCAUGACGUUCAAAACGUCUUUGAAGUCCCGAUUCUAAGCCAUAAAGCAUGGUGCACAAAACUAUCAAGUAGUCAUCAUAUUGAGCUAGCCAAAUGUUCAUAACGUCUGCAUCUGCUCCUGCAAUAGGUCUGUCACCUAGCGGUGCAUUAAGGACAUAAUUCUUCUGUGCAGCAAUGAGGAUAAACCUCAGAUCGCGGAUCCAAUCCGCAUCAUUGCUACUAACAUUUUCAACACAAUUUUAUCUAGGAACAUAUCAAAAUAAACAUAUGAAAGCAACAACGCGAGCUAUUGAUCUAAAACAUAAUUUGAAAAAUACUACCAAGACUAAGUUCAUGAUAAAUUUAAGUUCAAUUAAUCAUAUUACUUAAGAACUCCCACUUAGACAGACAUCUCUCUAGUCAUCUAAGUGAUCACGUGAUCCAAAUCAACUAAACCAUAACCGAUCAUCACGUGAGAUGGAGUAGUUUUCAAUGGUGAACAUCACUAUGUUGAUCAUAUCUACUAUAUGAUUCACGCUCGACCUUUCGGUCUCCGUGUUCCAAGGCCAUAUCUGCAUAUGCUAGGCUCGUCAAGUUUAACCUGAGUAUUCUGCGUGUGCAAAACUGGCUUGCACCCGUUGUAGAUGGACGUAGAGCUUAUCACACCCGAUCAUCACGUGGUGUCUGGGCACGACGAACUUUGGCAACGGUGCAUACUCAGGGAGAACACUUCUUGAUAAUUAGUGAGAGAUCAUCUUAAAAUGCUACCAUCAAUCAAAGCAAGAUAAGAUGCAUAAAAGAUAAACAUCACAUGCAAUCAAUAUAAGUGAUAUGAUAUGGCCAUCAUCAUCUUGUGCUUGUGAUCUCCAUCUCCGAAGCAUCGUCAUGAUCACCAUCGUCACCGGCGCGACACCUUGAUCUCCAUCGUAGCAUCGUUGUCGUUUACGCCGUCUAUUGCUUCUACGACUAUCGCUACCACUUAGUGAUAAAGUAAAGCAAUUACAGGGCGUUUGCAUUUCAUACAAUAAAGCGACAACCAUAUGGCUCCUGCCAGUUGCCGAUAACUUCGGUUACAAAACAUGAUCAUCUCAUACAAUAAAAUAUAGCAUCACGUCUUGACCAUAUCACAUCACAACAUGCCCUGCAAAAACAAGUUAGACGUCCUCUACUUUGUUGUUGCAAAUUUUACGUGGCUGCUACGGGCUGAGCAAGAACCGUUCUUACCUACGCAUAAAAACCACAAUGAUAGUUCGUCAAGUUGGUGCUGUUUUAACCUUCGCAAGGACCGGGCGUAGCCACACUCGGUUCAACUAAAGUUGGAGAAACUGACACCCGCUAGUCACCUAUGUGCAAAGCACGACGGUAAAACCAGUCUCAUGUAAGCGUACGCGUAAUGUCGGUCCGGGCCGCUUCAUCCAACAAUACCGCCGAACCAAAGUAUGACAUGCUGGUAAGCAGUAUGACUUGUAUCGCCCACAACUCACUUGUGUUCUACUCGUGCAUAUAACAUCAACGCAUAAAAUCUAGGCUCGGAUGCCACUGUUGGGGAAUGUAGUAAUUUCAAAAAAAUUCCUACGCACACGCAAGAUCAUGGUGAUGGCAUAGCAACGAGAGGGGAGAGUGUUGUCCACGUACCCUCGUAGACAGUAAGCGGAAGCGUUAUGACAACGCGGUUGAUGUAGUCGUAUGUCUUCACGAUCCGACCGAUCCAAGCACCGAACAAAAGGUACCUCCAAGUUCAGCACACGUUCAGCUCGAUGACGAUCCCCGGGCUCCGAUCCAGCAAAGCUUCGGGGAUGAGUUCCGUCAGCACGACGACGUGGUGACGAUGAUGAUGUUCUACCGGCGCAGGGCUUCGCCUAAACUCCACGACGAUAUGACCGAGGUGAAAUAUGGUGGAGGGGGGCACCGCACACGGCUAAGGAAUGAUCCGUAGAUCAACUUGUGUAUCAUGGGGUGCCCCCCUGCCCCCGUAUAUAAAGGAGCAAGGGGGGAAGAGGCUUGCCCUAGGAGGGGGCGUGCCAAGUGUGGAGUCCUACUAGGACUCCCUAGUCCUAGUAGGAUUCCACCUCCCUUGUUGGAGUAGGAGAAGGGGAAAGAGGGGGAGAGGAAGAAGGAAAGGGGGCUGCGCCCCUUGUCCAAUUCGGACCAGAGGGGGGGCGCAGGCCUCCUGUCAGGACCCCAACUCAAUGCCACAUCGAUCUAGCAUGUAACACCUCAUAUCACUUUGCGGCCUCACGCACGGUAUUCCCACGGGUGUCGCCUUACCUUUGCCCGGGACCGUUUGCGCCUUUUGGCACACGUAUAUGAUAGUGUCACUAGCAUCCAUAUGAUAAGGAGCCCGGGCUGACAUGGCUAGUCGUAAACCCAAAGUGGCACAGACUUACAGGGACAGGCAUCCAUGACCCAGCAUCGAACGUGUCGGUCAUCAGCAAAUAAGUUCCGGGCUGUAGCACUGGGCUAGCAGGACUCCGGUAAACCGGGCUAUAGCGGGCUAACAGGACUCCGGUAUUCAUCGCGUGACAUUUCCCCGAAGGGACAGACACGGGAACGAAGAAGGACACAUGCCGGCCAGCCUAAGUGUUCCGGAGCAGUAGCAAGCUACCAUGGCUCGGUGGAAACACUAGGAGACAUUUCCCGGUAAGAGAGGCUACUAAAGAUAAACAACUAGAUAGUCAGAUCCCACACAUACCAAGCAUUUCAAUAACAUACACACAAUAUGCUCGAUAUGUGCAAAUACAACAUGGCAUCACAACAUGACUCUACGACUCAAGUAUUUAUUCAUUAGGCUCCGAGGAGCGAGAUAUUACAAACAGGGGUCUCAUGACCCAACAUUCAGAGCAUACAAAUCAAAGCACAAGCGGAAGCUAAUAUGUCUGAGUACAGACAUCUACAAAUGGAAAAAGGCUUAGAAGCCUGACUAUCUACCAGAUCCUGCCGAGGGCACAAGAUCGUAGCUGAGGUAUCAAGCUAAAAGUCGAAGUCCACGCGGAACUACUAGCGAGACCGAAGUCUCUCUGCAAAAACAUAAAAUAGGCAAACGUGAGUACAAAUGUACCCAGCAAGACUUACAUCAGAACUAACUACAUAUGCAUCAUUAUCAACAAAGGGGAUGGUGGAGUUUAACAGCAGCAAGCCAGCUUUGACUCGGUGGCUAUCCUAAACUACGACUGCAAGUAACUCUUUUGAGGUGGCACACAUGAGUCCACAUAUUCACCAUAUCAAUACACCACUAUGGAUCCGCUCUGUCUCCCUACGAGAACGCCAUCCAUAUCACUCACACUUAUCUUGCGUAUUUUAGAGUAUCCACUUUCACUUGUCUAUGAACUAUUAUAGGCAACCCAGAAGUCCUUUACCGCGGACACGGCUAUUCGAAUAGAUGAUGUUAACCCUGCAGGGGUGUACUUCUUCACACACGCUCUCACCACUUACCGCCGUUUACACGACAUGUACUCGGCAACCUUCAAGCGGAAGCCCAACGAGGGUGUCGGCCAUGACCUACCUAAACACUCAAGUCCCUAGUCCAGGUUUAUCGCCUAUUCGGGUUCCAUCCAUGAGGAGAUCCGGCCGACGUUUCGCUCACAGCCCCAAACGAUGUGAGCAGGGUUCCCGAGACACCAAACGGGCGCCCGGUACAUCGUGCCACGUGCCUACCGCAUCACAGCCCACCCCUACAGUCAGCGCUGCGCACGGCCUCCAGCAUACUACAAACACCAGAAACUACUUGCAACUCCUGGACAGAGGACAAGGGUGAUUAAGAAGCCAAGAGGGUCCAUUGGUUUUGGGCCCAAUGCGUGGUAGUAGCUGAAUCAUGGAUCACAAACACAGAACUCAGUUCCUGAGGGCGGCUGCAAUGAGACAACCCACCAUGUACUCCUACAUGGCCUCUCACCGCUACCUUUACCAAAUCGUGUUCACACACUUAGCUCACACACAGUAGGACAUGUUCACGCACCUCUGAUUCAUCCUCGAUGAAUCAGACCCGACUCAACUCUAAGCAGUAGCAGGCAUGACAAACAAGCAUGUAUGAGUAGGCACAACAAGGCUCAAACAACUCCUACUCAUGCUAGUGGGUUUCAUCUAUUUACUGUGGAAUGACAGGUCAUGCAAAGGAUAAAGGGGUUCAGCUACCGCAGCAAGUAACAGAUGAAUCGUUGUUGUCCUAAUGCAGUAAAAGAGAGCAGUAGCGAGAGAGUGGGAUUGUAUCGGAAUGAACAAGGGGGUUUUGCUUGCCUGGCACUUCUGAAGAUAUUAUAGCUCUUCAUCGGUGUCAUCGAUCUCAUCGUCGAAACCACGUCUAUCGAGAGGGGACAGUUACCGGCAAAUAAAGAGGGACACAAUCAAUGCAAUGCAACAAAUAUCAUGCAUGAUAAUGUCAUGGAAAUAUGUUGUUGAUUGAGCUAAUGCAACUAGCAGCAAGUUAAAUGAAGUUGGUUUGAACCCAAGGUUCAAAUUCAAACUCCAUAUGUGAAGGUUUAAAUGCCAUUAAUAUGAUUUGUGCUAAACAGCAGCUGUAAGUUGUUCUAACAUGCAUGAAAAUGGUACAGAUGGAUAGAUUGGAUUUUUCUGAUCAUUUUUCAUAUAUAAUUUAUUUCAUUUGGAGUUACGGUUGAAUUUCUAUGAAUUUUAGAAGUUUUGGUUAUUUUCUGGAAUUUCCUAUAUAAAAAUAAAUCCAGAAAAUAAGUUACUGCGUCAGCCUGACAUCAUCAUGACAUCAGCAGGUCAACGAGGCACGGUCCAGGUCAAACCUGACCAGUGGGGUCCACUGGUCAGUGACACAGUGUUGUUCAGUGUCAAUGACAUGUGGGGCCUGGUCAACGGCCACGUCAGCACAGUCAACUCUGACUGGUGGGUCCCGUGUGAUUAUAAACUAAUCUAAACAAAAAUAGAACCUAGGUUAUUUAGGGUGUGGGGCCCGGGUGUCAGUGAGAUAGGUGGGUUGGUUAGUGGUGUGUUUAACCGCUAAUGAUGGCCACGUCAUCAGUCGCCGGAGUUUGGCCGGCGGCGACCUCAAGCCGCGGCGGAGGCGCACUAGAGUGGCUCGGGUUUUGCCCAUAGUCGACCAAAUCAACCGCGGUUUGGUCCUACGCGUAGCUGGGGCUCGCGCGCAUCUAGUAGGCCAACCGGGAGGAGCUGGGGUGGUCUGAGUUGACGGCGGCGAGCACGAAUGCGGCGGCCAGAGUUCGGGCGAGGUUGGAAAUGGUGCUGUGGGGCACGGCGGGGCGAACGGCUGGGUGCUACGGCCUCCUGGUGAUGUGCUGAGCACGGUGACGUGCCCGGGAUCGAGCCAACGUGGCUGUGGCCAUGACGGCGACGUGCGGUGGCGGCGGCGGGUGCGGCCGAGCUCGGUGUGGUCGCUGUGGUGCUCAAGAAGGCAAACGGAGAGGGGGAGAAGGGGCAGGGGCUCACGGCGGUUGCAACGAGGCGAACGGAGAGCUUGGGGAAGCACCGGGGCGAGCGGGGCGGCGAUGGCGAUGUCGGCGGACCGAGGUUGAAGAAGACGGCGUGGACGGUGAGGCAGGGCCUUCGGCGUCGUGUAGCUCGGUGGAGAAGGUCGAGGAAGACGCGNNNNNNNNNNNNNNNNNNNNNNNNNNNNNNNNNNNNNNNNNNNNNNNNNNNNNNNNNNNNNNNNNNNNNNNNNNNNNNNNNNNNNNNNNNNNNNNNNNNNNNNNNNNNNNNNNNNNNNNNNNNNNNNNNNNNNNNNNNNNNNNNNNNNNNNNNNNNNNNNNNNNNNNNNGAGGAAGACGCGGCGGAGCUCCUGGACUGGUCGGGGAAGCGAGGGGGAGGCGGUGGGCAUGGCAACGCCGAGCGGCGUUGACAGCGGCGCUCGGGCGUGUUCGGUAGAGGGGGCAGGGAGGAGGAGAGAGGCCAGGGAGCGAGGGGAGCGGUCGAGGGGGGUCCAGGGGGGUCUGGGUGGCAACUCCAGAGGCGCCCCGGCCCUCGGCGACAAGCAGGAGGUGGCGCACGGCGGUGCGCGCGCGUCGGGGACGCGCCCGUCCUCCUGGCAAAGGAGAAAGACGACAGGGAAGGAGGCGGUGGUGGGCUGGGCCAGUUGGCUGGGCUGCCAGCUGGGCCGGCCAGGUGGGCUACGGCCAGGUAAGUGGCCCAGGUAGGUCUCUGCUCUGUUUUAUUUUUCUGUUCUGUUUUCUAUUAUUCUGUAAGUUUAGGGCUUUAUUAAAAAUGCCAGGGUAUUACCAAAAAUCAUGAAACUGCUCCAUGUCACUGUUUGGAAUAUUUCCAACAGUAAACAUUUCAGUUUGUGAUUAUUUGAGCAUUUAAAAUAUUAUUAGCAAUUAAAUGCCCAAAUGCAAAUACUAUAUAAUUUAAUUCAAAAAUCCAGGAAUAGCCUAUAAAUAUGUUCAUCAUUUUUGGAAGAG
rnacentral:lncRNA from 1 species